rnacentral:rRNA from 1 species
GCCUUCGGGUGGAUUAGUGGCGAACGGGUGAGUAACACGUGGGCAAUCUGCCCUGCACUCUGGGACAAGCCCUGGAAACGGGGUCUAAUACCGGAUAAUACCUUCUCUCGCAUGGGAGUGGGUUGAAAGCUCCGGCGGUGCAGGAUGAGCCCGCGGCCUAUCAGCUUGUUGGUGGGGUGAUGGCCUACCAAGGCGACGACGGGUAGCCGGCCUGAGAGGGCGACCGGCCACACUGGGACUGAGACACGGCCCAGACUCCUACGGGAGGCAGCAGUGGGGAAUAUUGCACAAUGGGCGGAAGCCUGAUGCAGCGACGCCGCGUGAGGGAUGACGGCCUUCGGGUUGUAAACCUCUUUCAGCAGGGAAGAAGCGCAAGUGACGGUACCUGCAGAAGAAGCACCGGCUAACUACGUGCCAGCAGCCGCGGUAAUACGUAGGGUGCGAGCGUUGUCCGGAAUUAUUGGGCGUAAAGAGCUCGUAGGCGGCUUGUCGCGUCGGAUGUGAAAGCCCGGGGCUUAACCCCGGGUCUGCAUUCGAUACGGGCAGGCUAGAGUGUGGUAGGGGAGAUCGGAAUUCCUGGUGUAGCGGUGAAAUGCGCAGAUAUCAGGAGGAACACCGGUGGCGAAGGCGGAUCUCUGGGCC